CGCAAUGAUGAUACGGCCUGUCUGAUCGAUGAUGAGGAUAUUGAGUUCUGAGCG
rnacentral:snoRNA from 1 species